UACGUAGGGUGCGAGCGUUAAUCGGAAUUACUGGGCGUAAAGCGUGCGCAGGCGGUUUUGUAAGGCAGAUGUGAAAUCCCCGGGCUCAACCUGGGAACUGCAUUUGUGACUGCACAGCUGGAGUGCGGCAGAGGGGGAUGGAAUUCCGCGUGUAGCAGUGAAAUGCGUAGAUAUGCGGAGGAACACCGAUGGCGAAGGCAAUCCCCUGGGCCUGCACUGACGCUCAUGCACGAAAGCGUGGGGAGCAAACAGG
rnacentral:rRNA from 1 species